GGAGGCUGGGAGAGAGAAGGGUGGGAGAGAGAAGGCUAGAAGAGAGAAGGGUGUGAGAGAGAAGGCUGGAAGAGAGAAGGCUAGGAGAGAGAAGGCUGGAGGAGAGAAGGCUGGAGGAGAGAAGGCUGGGAGAGAGAAGGCUAGGAGAGAGAAGGCUAGGAGAGAGAAGGCUGGGAGAGAGAAGGCUAGGAGAGAGAAGGCUGGAAGAGAGAAGGCUAGGAGAGAGAAGGCUGGGAGAGAGAAGGUUGGGAGAGAGAAGGGUGAGAGAGAGAAGGGUGGAGGAGAGAAGGGUGGAGGAGAGAAGGGUGGAGGAGAGAAGGCUAGAAGAGAGAAGGCUGUGAGAGAGAAGGCUAGGAGAGAGAAGGCUGGGAGAGAGAAGGCUAGGAGAGAGAAGGGUGGGAGAGAGAAGGGUGGGAGAGAGAAGAGUAGAUGAGAGAAGGGUGGGAGAGAGAAGGGUGGAUUAUUUAGGAGGGUAUAUACUGAGUGCAGAGACUGGAACUGCGCUGCCCACCUAGGCUAACUGCACUGACGAGGAGUUGAAUGGAGAACCAAAGGAAGAGGAGCCCUGCUGAACACUGUUUUAACACUAUAGUACUGAGUCGUGAAAAGGCACAAAACAGAGGAAAACACUCCGAAACAGAUGAACAGGGGGAGGUACCACCUAAAUUUGCAUUUGUUUUCUGUUUCAAAACGUUUUGAAACUUUCUGCCCCAAUGAACACGACCCUAACAAAGAUGUACACUACCCUUCCAUGGAGAAGCAAUGUGCUCUAAUGUCUUACCUCUGUUCGGAUAUGGCGAUGCAAUGAGCAAUUUGAGCGGAGAGAGUUAACGUGUUAUUGUUAAGCGUAAAAAAUGUGUUUUUUACAUUACAGGGAUAUGUACAGUUAAAAUUGAUUUGGUUAGGAGUUCUUCCUAAUCACAGAUGACCUCACCAGGUAAAACUCUGGGUCUUAUAGUGCUGUCAAGACAACUGGGAACUCUGGGUAAAAAUCAUGACGUCAGUGGUCUUCAGGUCGGAAGGUUGGCGCUCUAGAAAGAGGACUGAGUUCCUGACUUGGAAUUCCGAGUUGGAUGACAAUUCUUUUCCUCAUUCCCAGUUAUCUUGAAGUGCACUGAAGUCAGAAGUCUAAGAAUUCCCAGUUUCCAUUUGUUUUUGAACGUGGCAUUAAGUGUAGCAUAAUGCAUUUAGUCCUGGUCAGGUCACAUGGUCAGGAUUAACUUCCUGGCCCUAUUCAGUAAACGGAAAAUGUGCCUGAAAAUGUUCCUUUUAUGUUCUUCCAGAGAGAAGGAGGCCUUCAGAGGGUAUUAUAGUAGAGAGCCCCAAUACUAAAUGGACUCCUAGACCCUACAUCCUUUGUAUGCAUUUGUAGAGAUCUCAGCGAAUUGGACACAUGUAAGUAUAUGGUAAAAAUGCCAUCUAGUCAAUCAGUCGGCCAGAUGGUUCUCCUACCACACUGCGUAUCUAGUGAUCUAAGAUUUCCACAAGCGCCUAUGUUGUAGGCGUCCAUUUGGGACCGGCGAGUAGGACAAUGAAAAAGCGGGGCUUAGGGACCAUCCCUUCGUAUUAAAGAGCCCUAAUUUAAAUGGUAAUAAUGGCUGUUGUCCUAUUCGCUACCCUUCUCCUAAAGUGUGCAAUUGUACACUCCCUAACAUGGAUUUAACAGGAGUUGGCUGGUGUAAGGAGCAUGGUGGAAACUUGCUUGUACCAAUCCAAUCCUUAUAAGUGCAUAAGAGGGAGUGUACACUUGGUAAAGGGUACAGAAUCGGAAUGAAACCAAUCUCUGCUUGGGGAACAGGGUACGUACACGCCAGGUAGCGAGCUGGGAUUAAAGUUUAUCUGACAAGA